UCUUAAUAAAACUUACUUUUGUUCUUAUUCUUGGUGCCAUUGAAGAUUGUCUUUCUGUCUGUCUCACUCAGAUUUUAAAAACCUUCAUCAAGAAAAAUCAAAACGAACCCUCAAUCAAGACUCGUCGAAGAAUAAACAAAUCUCCGAGUUGAAGAACGUGAAAAAUGGCGUAUGAAAAGAAAUAAUUUUCCGCGCGAGUCGCCCGCGCAAUGAGCUGAAGGCGCCAACCGAGGCGCAUGAUGAGGCGGCGAAACAAUCCCUGGUUCCACCAACGCUCGGAGUUCUAAAUGUCCGGACAGUCCGGCACAUUAACUACAGACGGGAAGCCGGUUUGUCAACGGGACUUAUUUAAACUGCCACCUAUUGUGCUAAGACGCUGACCAUUGUGCCGAGUAGAUUUGUGGCUGUUA